AUUACACAAUUUACAAGCAUUAAAUGUAUUUACUUUUUUUUCCCAAUCUGAUUGUUACCCAUUUAAAUGUGAUGAUGGAGGCUUUGGCUAUUCUGUUUUAUACUGUCAUAUACUUAUUCAUUUACACUCAUUUUAUUUUUUUAUUACAUGCCUUGCUGUUUUUGUAUUUAUGUAUGCACUGAAAGCUGAAAAAAUAUUUGUGUGGUAUGCACAAAACAUACAUGAGAAUAAAUAUACACUGAAUCAUAAAUGUUGUGUAUAAAUCAGAACCCUAUGCACAUAUGAAAAUUUUAAUUGAUACAGAUAUAUAUAAACCUGUGAAAUAAAUUAAUGCAGUACACAACCGCUUCAUAUUUAGUCACAAUAGCAUAGGCUAUUUUGUGUAAUGGUCAAUAAAUGUUCUCAUUUACAUUGUUGGUCCUGUUGACUUUGCCCACUAAAUUCAUCCCAGUUGUUACAGAGUCUUGUCCACCUUAAAAUUAUAAUAUUAAUAUAUUUGAAUUUUGUAACCUCAUGGCUUUCCCACAUCUGCACAUCUGUGGACAACAAGCAUACAUACAGGAAUGUAUUUGGGCAACUGCUUGAUGGACAGUCUGUUUAACUGGCACUGGGCACACUGCAAAACCCGAUAUUCAGAAAUAAGCACAUGAGAAAUGCAUUCCACAACAUAAUCAGUUUAUGUGUGUGUGUCAGCAAUGUUGAAAAUGAAAAUAUUAAGUAGACUUUGACCCAUUUAUCAAUGUCCACCCCAUUCCAGGCCAGUAGAAUCUAGCUGAAAUGGCAAGGUUUUUUUUUAUUUAUUCUAAAAUAAAAAUUGGCUGGCCUCUUUUUGUCCAGCAACCGCUUGUCUUCUAAACUUUAAAUUGUAUAUUUAAUUUGUUUAUAUUCUUUGUUUUUAUAUUUUUAAUAACAGAUUGGUUACCUGAGUACAUAUGUACAGUCACACUGUAUGAUUGUGAAUUUUAAUUGCUGUUUUUAACGAGAUUUUUGUCUUUUCUGUUCUUUUACAGAUCACUAUUGCACACCAAAUGCUCUUACUCAGCAGAUGGGGACAGCUACCAUCACCCAAUUUUCACCCAAAAAUGGCUGCGCUAUGCGCCAGACCGGGCAGGAGGGACUGGACGACAACUUAUGCAGGCAUCAGAUGACAAUGAAGUGUAAAUAAAGAGUAGAGAGGCUAAUAAACAUGAAUUUGAUUUUAAGUAGUGUGGUAUGUUUUAUACAAGAUUUCAAAUAUUCCAAUACUUUUUAACAUCCUGGCUGUAGAUAAAGCAAGCUAUUUAAUUUAUGGCAUUACAUUUAAAAACUAUGGAAAUUCCAUUGAAAUCAUGUUGAUCCUUAGUUCAGUUGAAAUUUCAACAUUGUUUCAAUAUUCCUGAUAGUUGAAAUACCAUUGAAAUUCCGUUGAUCUAUGGACAGAAUUUCAACAUUGUUUCAAUAUUAAAUCAGGGUGCAAAAUGAUGUUGAAUCAACAUCGGAGUUCGAUGUUGAUUCAAUGACUUAAAGUUGACAACGGAAUGUUGAUUCAGCAUAGUUUCAAUGACUGUUUGCUAUCUGGCCCACCCAGCAAAAACUUGUUGAAAAGACGUCAUUGGCAGACGUCUAAACAACGUUAAAAUUUAGUUGAAAAGUGAAAGGUGAAAAGACGUCUUUUCCAGACCUAAUUACAACGGUGAAUUAUUUUUAAUAUUCCUAAUUAGUGAAAAUAAGACAAUUCACAGUAUAUUGACACAUUUAUUGACACAUCUUUCAUGUAAAUUCUUGAUCACAUCUUAAGCAUCCUUUGAUUAAACAGACCGUAAAAACAGUAAUAUUGUGAAAUAUAACUACAGAAAUAUUUGUUUUCUAUGUGGAUGCAUUGUCAAAUGUAAUUUAUGCCUAUAAACUGAAUUUGUAACACAACUACUCCAGUCUUCAGUGUUACAUGAUCUUCAGAAAUCAUUAUAAUAUACUGAUUUGCUGCUCAAGAAACAUUUCUGAUUAUUAUCAAUGUUUAAAACAGUUGUGCUGCCCAAUAUUUUGUGGAAACCAUUACAUUUAUCAGUAUUUUUUUAAUAGACCUUGCAAAAGAGUAGUAUUUAUUUAGAUUUUUUUAUCAAUUUAAAAGUCUUUAUUAUAAACUUAUCAAAUUAAUCCAUCUUUCUGUAUUAAUAUAAUUUUUCAAGACAAUAAACUAUGAACAAUUAUAACCACAUUAGAACAACCAAAAAUUUUAAUCUGUCAUUAUUUUCUUACCCUCAUGUUGCCCCAAACCAUGUUACAGAACACAAAUUAAGAUAUUUUUUAACAGAUGCCUUGUGUACGCAAAAAACAACAACAACAACAGUAAAAAUAAUCUAUUCAGAAAUUAUGAAUCCCCAAUGGAUUUUCACAAAAGCGCCAGCUCUCACGCCAAUGCAGCACUGAUGCAUCAUGGUGCUUGUGUGAAUGCGUUAUUUAAUAUAAAAAAAAUUCUCCGAUUUUAUCAAAAAGUUCUGCAUUUGUGUUUCAAAGAUGAACAAAAGUCUGGCUUGGACAUGAAGGUGCGUGAUGAAAAUCUUUGGUUUAACUAACACUUUAAGUAAAUGGGGUUCCCACAGGGCAACCAGUAGAUCUCUGCCUGAUCUCCGAUCUUCUGCUUCUUCCUCCAUCCC